ACGCUCGACACCUACGGGAGGCUGCAGUCGGGAAUAUUGCGCAAUGGAGGAAACUCUGACGCAGUGACGCCGCGUAUAGGAAGAAGGUUUUCGGAUUGUAAACUAUUGUCGUUAGGGAAGAUACAAGACAGUACCUAAGGAGGAAGCACCGGCUAACUAUGUGUCAGCAGCCGCGGUAAUCUGAGCGGGCUGGCAAGGC
rnacentral:rRNA from 1 species